CACGUAGGGGGCAAGCGUUGUCCGGAUUUAUUGGGCGUAAAGAGCUCGUAGGUGGUUCAGUAAGUCAGGUGUGAAACCUCCAGGCUCAACCUGGAGACGCCACUUGAUACUGCUGUGACUGGAGUCCGGUAGGGGAGCGUGGAAUUCCUGGUGUAGCGGUGAAAUGCGCAGAUAUCAGGAGGAACACCGGUGGCGAAGGCGGAUCUCUGGGCCUUACCUGACGCUGAGGAGCGAAAGCAUGGGGAGCAAACAGG
rnacentral:rRNA from 1 species